ensembl:lncRNA
AUGGAUUAUCUGACCUCCAGAUGCAGGCAGAACAGAGACAGAAGACCCAAGACCCGGCCCAGAACACACCACAAACCAGCAGGGAGCAGACAGAGUCUGACCAACACCAACUCCAAGAUAGAAGACUGGAUCUCCUCAGAUAUGGACCCCAGCAAGAGCAAAGGUACAGACAGUGUGGAGUCGGACCGGUCUGGGAUCAUGCUGCCAUUCCACAGUACACCACUAGGUGGCAGGAGAGGAAGCAGCAAGCCCUACUCCUGCUCAGAUGGACCAGUGAAACCCCAGAGCAGAAAACCCUUGAAUACAGCAUCAGAGGAGAACCGUUCUCUGGAGACCUCCAAUCUCACCCAUCCCAGUCCUCCAGCACUCUGGCACUCAUACAAGAACUUCAGCUACAGAUCUCCACCACCACCAGGUGACAUGGAGAAUGUCUACUCUAAGGGCAGGUAUCCUCUCUCCUCUCAGCCUCUACAGAAGCCUCUGUUGCAAGUCAACUAUGGCUCCUCCUGCAGUUUACCUGCAGGUUUCAAAGUGCGAGAGCAGCAGUCUGUCUCCCACCACCGGAGGCGCUCUACCCAGUCAGACUCAGCACUGCUGCCCAGCAACGUGUACUUUCAGCAGACCUUUCCCCCAGCUCUCAGCCCCCCCAGGACUGGGGUCAUAGCCAGCAGGCACAAAGUCAGCAGGGUGAGCCUGUCCACAUGGAAAACAUUCUUUCAUAUCAAUGGGUGCCAGUAA